rnacentral:rRNA from 1 species
UACGUAGGGUGCAAGCGUUAAUCGGAAUUACUGGGCGUAAAGCGUGCGCAGGCGGUUUGCUAAGCGAGAUGUGAAAUCCCCGGGCUUAACCUGGGAACUGCGUUUCUAACUGGCAGGCUUGAGUGUGGCAGAGGGGGGUGGAAUUCCACGUGUAGCAGUGAAAUGCGUAGAGAUGUGGAGGAACACCGAUGGCGAAGGCAGCCCCCUGGGCUAAUACUGACGCUCAUGCACGAAAGCGUGGGGAGCAAACAGG